rnacentral:rRNA from 1 species
GACGACCGCUGGCGCCGUGCCUAAUACAUGCAAGUCGAACGCAGUGGGGACGUGUGAGUAACACGUGGGUAACCUCCCCAUCAGAGGGGAUAACACUUGGAAACAGGUGCUAAACCGAUACUGAUGGGUGGACCCGUGGUGCAUUAGCUCGUUGGGGGGGUAACGGCUCACCAAGGCCACGAUGCAUAGCCGACCGGAGAGGAUGAUCGGCGACACUGGGACGGAGACACGGCCCAGACUCCUACGGGAGGCAGCAGUAGGGAAUCUUCGGCAAUGGACGAAAGUCUGACCGAGCAACGCCGCGUGAGUGAAGAAGGUUUUCGGAUCGUAAAGCUCUGUUGUUAGAGAAGCGGUAUCUAACCAGAAAGCAACGGCUAACUACGUGCCAGCAGCCGCGGUAAUAC